rnacentral:misc_RNA from 1 species
CAACCCUCAAGCCCCCGGGUUUGGUGUUGGGACUCGCGGUAACCCGCGUUCCCCAAAUCGAUUGGCGGUCACGUCGAGCUUCCAUAGCGUAGUAAUCAUACACCUCGUUACUGGUAAUCGUCGCGGCCACGCCGUUAAACCCCAACUUCUGAA